UGAGAGGUUGAUGCGGGCGUAUGUCUCGCCAACCCGGUCAGGUCCGGAAGGAAGCAGCCGCAACGAGUUUUAUUCGGGUCGUUAUCAAUCUCUCACCC
rnacentral:SRP_RNA from 1 species